rnacentral:rRNA from 1 species
AACGAACGCUGGCGGCAGGCCUAACACAUGCAAGUCGAACGCCCUAGCAAUAGGGAGUGGCAGACGGGUGAGUAACACGUGGGAACCUUCCCUAUAGUACGGAAUAGCCCAGGGAAACUUGGAGUAAUACCGUAUACGCCCGAGAGGGGAAAGAUUUAUCGCUAUAGGAUGGGCCCGCGUCGGACUAGCUAGUUGGUGAGGUAAUGGCUCACCAAGGCAACGAUCCGUAGCUGGUUUGAGAGAAUGACCAGCCACACUGGGACUGAGACACGGCCCAGACUCCUACGGGAGGCAGCAGUGGGGAAUCUUGGACAAUGGGCGCAAGCCUGAUCCAGCCAUGCCGCGUGAGUGAUGAAGGCCUUAGGGUUGUAAAGCUCUUUUGCCGGGGACGAUAAUGACGGUACCCGGAGAAUAAGUCCCGGCUAACUUCGUGCCAGCAGCCGCGGUAA